rnacentral:miRNA from 1 species
UCUCCGGUUUUACAAAAGUUUUAUUGAAUCAUAAUAAAAGCAAUGACCGACGUUUCAGUCCCAGCUCGGGACUUUCCUCAGGGUCCAACAAAACAGAAAAUAUUCUGUUUUGUUGGACCCUGAGGAAAGUCCCGAGCUGGGACUGAAACGUCGGUCAUUGCUUUUAUUAUGAUUCAAUAAAACUUUUGUAAAACCGGAGAG